UUAUGGAGAGUUUGAUCCUGGCUCAGAACGAACGCUGGCAGCGUGCCUUAUACAUGCAAGUCGAGCGGAGAUUGACUCUUUUUCAGUUAGCCCUCGGGCAAAACUGGAUUUGAGUUGAUCUUAGCGGCGAACGGGUGAGUAACACGUGGGUAAUCUACCCUUGGGACCGGGAUAACACCUCGAAAGGGGUGCUAAUACCGGAUAAUGUCAUUCUACACAGGUAGAAUAACCAAAGGUUGCAUUUAGCUUCUGCUCAGGGAUGAGCCCGCGUCCCAUCAGCUAGUUGGUAGGGUAAUGGCCUACCAAGGCUAUGACGGGUAGCCGGCCUGAGAGGGUGUCCGGCCACACUGGGACUGAGACACGGCCCAGACUCCUACGGGAGGCAGCAGUAGGGAAUCUUCCGCAAUGGGCGAAAGCCUGACGGAGCGACGCUGCGUGGGGGAUGAAGGCCUUCGGGUCGUAAACCCCUGUUGGGAGGGACGAUGCCCGCCUAUUGGUGGGUGACGGUACCUUCAGAGGAAGCCCCGGCUAACUACGUGCCAGCAGCCGCGGUAAGACGUAGGGGGCGAGCGUUGU
rnacentral:rRNA from 1 species